AUGAAUCUAAUUGUUAUGCUAGCUUCCAUGUCAGGAAAAUAACAGAUGUACAGUAUAAUGCGGGGGGGGGGGGGUGGUUUGGGGGAGUUGCUUUGGGAUUGCUAGAGCAGGUGCGACUUUAAAAAAAAAAAUCACAUGGAACUUUAUCAAGUGCAUUUGGAAACAGUUGGAAAUUAGCCAGGAGGAACAUUCUCCUUCAAUCCCUUAGACAUCCAGUUGUGGGCUUGGAUUAGGCCCCUGAACAGCUGAGUUAGGAGGACACUGACACCUUGUCACACUUUGAAGCUCUUUAUUCCCUCCUCACCCUCCAACAAAAGCACCAGAGAUUGCCCUCCCCUAACUAGACACACACACACACACACACACACACACACGUCCAGCUGCCAGAUAUGCCAGUUCUCUUUCAGAGAACACUAGACAGUGAGUCCAGGCAAGUUACCAUGGUUCUCUAUUAUCGCGUCCAGCACAUCAGGGAAUGGAAAUAAGUGUGCACAUGUUCUUAAAGGCCCUUUGGGAAAGAUCAGUGGGGCUGCAUGGGGGACACAAUGGCAGGCUUUGUCACAAAGAAAGGAUUUGGGCUGGCAGGCAGCAACAGUCCUGCUGGACACAGAGUUUGUCUGCAAAGGCAGUGGGGGAAAACCAUGUGCUGGAUUACAGAGCAUCCUCACUGGGAAAAGUAGAGCAUUUUGUGUAAUUAAAAGUCAUCCUGAAGACAUCAGGCUGAAACCCUUACAACGUAAGCGUUGGUGACUGGUGGAGUGAUGAGGAAGCCCAGAGAAAACCACAGAAAAGACUCACAUGUCCUAGAAGAGACAGCCUCUUCAGCCUGGAAUGAAGAGGACACUGGAAACAGACACGCAUAUGAUCCAGCUUCUCACAUGACAAGAACAUGAAAAACUGUUUAUUUUCUAUUGUUGUAAGCCAUGGAGUUGUAUAGUUGUUCAUUCCUAGAGCAAAGAUGAAUAAUUUAGAACACAGAACCAAAAGGGUACGUGAUUUGCUCAAGUUUACACAAUUAGGCAGCUAAAUGGCAGAACCAGAAUUGAAUCUCACUUCUUUUAACAUCCAGUCCAGUCUUCUCUCCAUAUUUCAGAACUCCUUAAAUGACCGAUGUAAAUAUCUACACAGAAUACUUUACUGAGAUAUUUAGAACAUCUGAAAAAGCAAUUUAUUCCAAGACAAUGGCUUUGUCCAAUUGUUCCUUAUAUGCAACUAACAGGCUACUAGCAAUCCAUGAAACUCUCCUUGCGGUCACUAGUGACCAUACCAACCAGGAGCUAUUCCUCUUGAUGUGAACUAGUGGUGUGGAGUUGGGGACUGAGUAAGGUUUGCCCUUUUACAUUUGUUCUUAUUAGCCAGGUCAUCUUCAAGUGCCUGUUAUCUGGGGUAAGAUACUGGAAUCCAGCAACAGCUCCAGUGUAUCAGUAUAGUCUUAUCUUAGGAACAUAUGGACUCUUUCAUACUUGGUUUCCCUAAGUAGGCUUUUAAAAGUGAUGGCAAAUUCUGUCAACAACUCACACCUGUUUUGUGUCCUCUCCAGUAAAAAAAUCUGUCUAGGCACUUCAAGAAGCUCCUUCUACUAUGAGGCCACUUUGUCCCCUGUUCCAUUUACUCCUGUCGCCAUUUCCCUCAGGAGGUUUUUCAAAAUGUAUGUCUUCAGUGA